UCAUUUCUUCACACUAUAAAUAUAAACCCAGGGCACAAGAAGCUAAGUAUCAGUCUUCUUUAGUUCUGCAAUUCACCGCUCAAGCUCAAAAUGGAAGGGUAUAUCUAUCCGCCGCCGCAGCAACCUCAUCAAUUUGGAUAUUAUAACCCACCGCCUCCACAGCAUCCGCCGCCCGGAUAUUAUCACCCACCGCCACCGCCACCGCCACCACCACCGCCGUAUCAUCAAUACCCUCCGCCGCCACCCGCAUAUUAUCAACAACCCGCAAUGCUGCAUCAGUAUCCUUCGCCGCCGGGAUAUUAUCCUCCGCCACCGGCGGCUGUGCACCACCACCCGCCACCGCCGUAUCAUCAAUACCCCUCACCACACGCAUAUUAUUACCCACCGGCCGGCACUGCACCUCAGACAUCUCCACACAAGACGUCUACCUUUGGCCCCUUUGGGAAACUAGCUGGGCAGAUAGUAGGAGGCCUCGGACUUGGAAUAGCGGCUAAUGCAAUCAGCGGAGCUAUUUAGCAACAUUUUUAAAAGUGAUAAGCUAAGUUUGCUUUAAAUUUUGUCAUUUCAAGAGUAUUUCCUUGUACUAAAAAGUGAUACGUCUUAUUCUAAAUGCAUUAUGUUUUUCAUUUUAACAACUAUUUAAUUUACAAUUGAAAUGUAAUAGUUCUUCUUUUAAAAUUAAGGUAUUAUCCUUUAUUUGAAAA